rnacentral:tRNA from 1 species
GCAACUUUAGCCUAAUUGGUCAAGGCAUCUAACUUCGGAUUAGAGGAUUGAGGGUUCGAGUCCUUCAAGUUGCU